AGUGAACGCUGGCGGUAGGCCUAACACAUGCAAGUCGAACGGCAGCACAGUAAGAGCUUGCUCUUACGGGUGGCGAGUGGCGGACGGGUGAGGAAUACAUCGGAAUCUACUUUUUCGUGGGGGAUAACGUAGGGAAACUUACGCUAAUACCGCAUACGACCUACGGGUGAAAGCAGGGGAUCUUCGGACCUUGCGCGAUUGAAUGAGCCGAUGUCGGAUUAGCUAGUUGGCGGGGUAAAGGCCCACCAAGGCGACGAUCCGUAGCUGGUCUGAGAGGAUGAUCAGCCACACUGGAACUGAGUCACGGUCCAGACUCCUACGGGAGGCAGCAGUGGGGAAUAUUGGACAAUGGGCGCAAGCCUGACCCAGCCAUACCGCGUGGGUGAAGAAGGCCUUCGGGUUGUAAAGCCCUUUUGUUGGGAAAGAAAAGCAGCAGGUUAAUACCCCGCUGUUCUGACGGUACCCAAAGAAUAAGCACCGGCUAACUUCGUG
rnacentral:rRNA from 1 species